AGCAUAUCAAUAAGCGGAGGAAAAGAAACCAACUGGGAUUGCUUAGUAACGGCGAGUGAAGCGGCAAUAGCUCAAAUUUGAAAGCUGGCGUCUUUGGCGUCCGCGUUGUAAUUUGUAGAGGAUGCUUCGGCGAGGGCUCCGGUCUAAGUUCCCUGGAACGGGACGUCAUAGAGGGUGAGAAUCCCGUAUGUGAUCGGUUGCCUAAGCCAUGUGAAGCUCCUUCGACGAGUCGAGUUGUUUGGGAAUGCAGCUCUAAAUGGGAGGUAAAUUUCUUCUAAAGCUAAAUACCGGCCAGAGACCGAUAGCGCACAAGUAGAGUGAUCGAAAGAUGAAAAGCACUUUGGAAAGAGAGUUAAAAAGUACGUGAAAUUGUUGAAAGGGAAGCGCUUGCAACCAGACUCGUCCGCAGUUGCUCAGCCGGUCUCUUGACCGGCGUACUCUUCUGCGGCCGGGCCAGCAUCAGUUCGGGCGGCCGGAUAAAGGCCUCGGGAAUGUAGCACCCUUCGGGGUGUGUUAUAGCCCGGGGUGGAAUGCGGCCAGCCUGGACUGAGGAUCUCGCUUCGGCUAGGAUGCUGGCGUAAUGGUUGUAAGCGGCCCGUCUUGAAACACGGACCAAGGAGUCUAACAUCUAUGCGAGUGUUUGGGUGUCAAACCCAUGCGCGUAAUGAAAGUGAACGGAGGUGGGAACCCUCACGGGUGCACCAUCGACCGAUCCUGAUGUCUUCGGAUGGAUUUGAGUAUGAGCAUAGCUGUUGGGACCCGAAAGAUGGUGAACUAUGCCUGAAUAGGGUGAAGCCAGAGGAAACUCUGGUGGAGGCUCGCAGCGGUUCUGACGUGCAAAUCGAUCGUCAAAUUUGGGUAUAGGGGCGAAAGACUAAUCGAACCAUC
rnacentral:rRNA from 1 species